UGGUGGAGUGAUUUGUCUGGUUAAUUCCGAUAACGAACGAGACUCUGUCCUGCUAACUAGGUUGUGUUUUCUCGGGUUGGUGUUUCUGGUGUUCCUUCUCGGGGCGCCGGCCCAAUCCACUUGUGAACACAACACUCUUCUUAGAAGGACUGGCGGCUGUUAGCCGCACGAGAUAGAGCAAUAACA
rnacentral:rRNA from 1 species